rnacentral:rRNA from 1 species
CUUCGGGGUACUCGAGCGGCGAACGGGUGAGUAACACGUGAGUAAUCUGCCCCAGGCUCUGGGAUAGCCACCGGAAACGGUGAUUAAUACCGGAUAUGACAACCGAUCGCAUGAUCUGGUUGUGGAAAGUUUUUCGGCCUGGGAUGUGCUCGCGGCCUAUCAGCUUGUUGGUGAGGUAAUGGCUCACCAAGGCUUCGACGGGUAGCCGGCCUGAGAGGGUGACCGGCCACACUGGGACUGAGACACGGCCCAGACUCCUACGGGAGGCAGCAGUGGGGAAUAUUGGACAAUGGGCGGAAGCCUGAUCCAGCAACGCCGCGUGAGGGAUGACGGCCUUCGGGUUGUAAACCUCUUUCAGCACAGACGAAGCGAAAGUGACGGUAUGUGCAGAAGAAGGACCGGCCAACUACGUGCCAGCAGCCGCGGUAAUACGUAGGGUCCGAGCGUUGUCCGGAAUUAUUGGGCGUAAAGGGCUCGUAGGCGGUCUGUCGCGUCGGGAGUGAAAACCAGGUGCUUAACACCUGGCCUGCUUCCGAUACGGGCAGACUAGAGGUACUCAGGGGAGAAUGGAAUUCCUGGUGUAGCGGUGAAAUGCGCAGAUAUCAGGAGGAACACCGGUGGCGAAGGCGGUUCUCUGGGAGUAUCCUGACGCUGAGGAGCGAAAGUGUGGGGAGCGAACAGGAUUAGAUACCCUGGUAGUCCACACCGUAAACGUUGGGCGCUAGGUGUGGGACACAUUC